AUUGAACGCUGGCGGCAGGCCUAACACAUGCAAGUCGGACGGUAGCACAGAGGAGCUUGCUCCUUGGGUGACGAGUGGCGGACGGGUGAGUAAUGUCUGGGGAUCUGCCCGAUAGAGGGGGAUAACCACUGGAAACGGUGGCUAAUACCGCAUAACGUCGCAAGACCAAAGAGGGGGACCUUCGGGCCUCUCACUAUCGGAUGAACCCAGAUGGGAUUAGCUAGUAGGCGGGGUAAUGGCCCACCUAGGCGACGAUCCCUAGCUGGUCUGAUAGGAUGACCAGCCACACUGGAACUGAGACACGGUCCAGACUCCGACGGGAGGCAGCAGUGGGGAAUAUUGCACAAUGGGCGCAAGCCUGAUGCAGCCAUGCCGCGUGUAUGAAGAAGGCCUUCGGGUUGUAAAGUACUUUCAGCGGGGAGGAAGGCGGUGAGGUUAAUAACCUUGCCGAUUGACGUUACCCGCAGAAGAAGCACCGGCUAACUCCGUGCCAGCAGCCGCCGUAAGAC
rnacentral:rRNA from 1 species